rnacentral:tRNA from 1 species
AGCAAUAAUAGUUUAAUAAAGAACAUUGGUCUUGUAAGCCAAAGGUGAAUAAUUAUUUCUUAUUGUUA